AUUGAACGCUGGCGGCAUGCCUUACACAUGCAAGUCGAACGGUAACAGGUUAAGCUGACGAGUGGCGAACGGGUGAGUAAUACAUCGGAACGUGCCCAGUAGUGGGGGAUAGCCCGGCGAAAGCCGGAUUAAUACCGCAUACGACCUAAGGGUGCAAGGGGGGGAUCGCAAGACCUCUCGCUAUUGGAGCGGCCGAUGGCAGAUUAGGUAGUUGGUGGGGUAAAGGCCCACCAAGCCGACGAUCUGUAGCUGGUCUGAGAGGACGACCAGCCACACUGGGACUGAGACACGGCCCAGACUCCUACGGGAGGCAGCAGUGGGGAAUUUUGGACAAUGGGCGCAAGCCUGAUCCAGCCAUGCCGCGUGCGGGAAGAAGGCCUUCGGGUUGUAAACCGCUUUUGUCAGGGAAGAAAUCCUUUGGGUUAAUACCUCGGGGGGAUGACGGUACCUGAAGAAUAAGCACCGGCUAACUACGUGCCAGCCGCCGCAGUAACAC
rnacentral:rRNA from 1 species